ACUCACAUCACUUUGGGACCUUUUUAGAAUGCAGAUUUUGAUUCAGUAGGUCUGGGAAGUGGGGUGGCAAGGUACUAUAUUUCUUUCAAGCUCUCAGGUGACAGUUAU
rnacentral:pre_miRNA from 1 species